rnacentral:rRNA from 1 species
GUGCCAGCCGCCGCGGUAAUACGGAGGGUGCAAGCGUUAAUCGGAAUUACUGGGCGUAAAGCGCGCGUAGGUUGUUAGUUAAGCGAGAUGUGAAAGCCCCGGGCUUAACCUGGGAAUUGCGUUUCGAACUGGCUGACUAGAGUACGGUAGAGGGUGGUGGAAUUUCAGGUGUAGCGGUGAAAUGCGUAGAGAUCUGAAGGAACAUCAGUGGCGAAGGCGACCACCUGGACUGAUACUGACACUGAGGUGC